rnacentral:rRNA from 1 species
UAUUAUUUUAAUAAUAAAUUAUUACAUAUAAAAUUUUAAAAUCAAAUAAUUAAGGACGUGAAAAACGAAAUAUUAAAUAGAAAAAUUAAAAUUUAAUUUUCCCUCUAAAAAGCUUUUUUAUAAUUUUAGGAAACAUCCCCCUUUAAAUUAAUAAAGAAUUAUUAGUAGCGGCGAGCGAACUUAAUAAUACAUAAAAGUAAAAAAAGAAAAUAGAUAAUACAUAUAUCUAAGUACUCAGUUGUUUGAAUUUUUAAAAAAAGUACUGUGAAGGAAAAGAAAAAACUUGAAAAUAUAAUAUUUGUAAUUAAAUUGUUAUCAAAUUACGUACCUUUUGUAUAAUGGGCUUGCAAGAAAAUGUUUAGCAAAUAAAAAGUUUAAUGAAAAUAAUUAAUUUAGCUAAAUUAUCCCGAAACUAAGUGAUCUAUUCUUGAACAGUUUAUAUUAGAACAAACUGAUGGCUGUUGCAAAAGCUUCAGACGAUUUAAGAAUAGAGGCGAAAUGCUAAUCGAACUUAGAAAUAGCUGGUUUUCUAUUAAAUCUUUAUAAGAAGAAACUAUUAAAAAUUUAAAUUAACUAUUUAAAAAACUAAUUUAAAUACUUUUAUUAGUAGGCAGAUCAUUAGCGAUAAGGUUUAUGAUCAAAAGGAAAACAAACCUUUUCAGAAGUUAAAGUCACGUAUUUUUUAAGUGUACAAUAAGAUUUUAUAAAGACAGGAGGCAAAUUGGCUUGGAAACAGCCAUUUUAUAAUUAACACGUAACAGUGAACCUCAAAAAUUAAUGUCUUCACAAUUAAGCUGGCUAAACAAUAAUCUAAAACUCUGAUAAAUUAAUAGGACGGACUGUUAACAAUAGUGAUAACUAAAACAGUGGUGAUAAUGCAAGCAUGAAUAGUUAAAAAACUUAAAGUUUUUAAGUAUUAAACAAUCUCUAAAAUAAAGAAAAGUAUUAUAAUAAACAAUUAGACAAGAAAAUUUAUAGUAUACCUUAUUGUACUUUCUAACACUAGUAAGUUAAACAAAAAAAUAAUUCUUGUUAAGGAACUCGGCAAAUUAUAUAAAUAUUAUAUAUAGAGAUCGACUGUUUACCAAAAACAUAGCUUCAUCAUACUAAUAUGAGGUGCAACCUGCUCAAUGGUUGGUAAUAAAAUUAAAAAAUUAUAAUAACAAUUAAAUAGCCGCGGUAACUCUGACCGUGAUAAAGUAGCAUAAUCAUUUGUCACUUAAUUAGUGACUGGAAUGAAUGGUUAAACGAAUCUCUAACUGUCUCAAUAAGAAAUUUGACAAAAUUAAAAUUAUAGUGAAGAUGCUAUAAAUAAAUUGCAAGACGAAAAGACCCUAUCGAGCUUUACUGAAUAUUUGUAAAAGUUAAUACACUAUAAUAAUAUAAGUAAUUUAAUAGGCAAGUAAGACAGUUUGGUUGGGGCGACCACCUCUAAAAUAGUAACAGAGGAGAUCUAAAGGUAAAAUUUAUGAAAACUAACUUUACUGAAAUAACAAUAAUUUAAUCAGUUACUAACAAAGUAGGACAUAAUGACCCGUUAUAUUAUAUGUAAUAUAUAACGACUACAAAAUAAGUUACCGUAGGGAUAACAGGGUAAUAGUUUUCAAGAGUUCAUAUCGACGAAACUGUUUGCCACCUCGAUGUUGAAUUAUGAUAUCCUAAAGGUGUAGCAGCUUUUGAGGGUUGGUCUGUUCGACCAUAAAAAUCAUACAUGAUUUGAGUUCAUUCCGUCGUAAGACAGGAAGGUUUCUAUCUACAAUUUUAAGGCUUUAAGUGUUUUUUAGUACGAAAGGAAUUAAAAUCACUGUUUUAUAAAACAAUAUGAAUUAUGUUGAAUGAAUUUAAACAUAAUAAUUUAGCCCAACAAUUAUAUAAUA